GAUGAACGCUAGCGGCAGGCCUAAUACAUGCAAGUCGAGGGGCAGCGCGGUAGCAAUACUGGCGGCGACCGGCGCACGGGUGCGUAACACGUAUGCAACCUACCUUCAACUGGAGGAUAGCCCGGGGAAACUCGGAUUAAUACUCCAUAACACAGGGAUCCCGCAUGGGAAUAUUGUUAAAGCUACGGCGGUUGAAGAUGGGCAUGCGUUCGAUUAGCUAGUUGGUGUAGGUAACGGCUCACCAAGGCUACGAUCGAUAGGGGGUCUGAGAGGAUGAUCCCCCACACUGGUACUGAGAUACGGACCAGACUCCUACGGGAGCAGCAGUAGGGAAUAUGGUCAAUGGGCGCAAGCCUGAACCAGCCAUGCCGCGUGCAGGAAGAAGGCCCUCUGGGUUGUAAACUGCUUUUGAUAGGGAACAAUGCCACUUGCGAGUGGAGCUGAGUGUACCUAUAGAAU
rnacentral:rRNA from 1 species